rnacentral:lncRNA from 1 species
UUGGAGAUUCCCUCUCCGACGCUGGCAACUCCCUCAUCGCAUUCCCACAUACUUACAAGCGCCUCAACACGUCGCCCUAUGGCGAGACCUUCUUCCAUCAUCCCGCGGGGAGAGAGAGUGACGGGCGCCUCAUUGUCGAUUUCUUGGGUGAGAGCUCGAAUCUAUUUUAUCCUGGGAACAGUGUCUCGAUUUUCUUUGCCGCGAUCUUUGUCUGAUUCUUUGAUUCUUGGGUUAUAGCUGAAGGCUAUGGAUUGCCGCUGCUAGAUCCAUACUUGCUGCUGUCCAAGGGGAGGAAUUGGCGCCAUGGCGUGAAUUUUGCGGCGGGAGGAGCCUCGGCGCUUCCCCUUCGAUUCUAUGACCAACACAACAUAUCGCUCGCGGGAUCACGGCACACAUUCCCGCUCGAUAUCCAGCUCCGGUGGUUCCAGGAUUUCCAGAAUGUGUCAAUGCUGCGCUCGAAUCAAGGUACUCGAUCGAUCAAUCCAUUUCGCAAGCGAGAAAUUUCACUCUUUUUCACUCCAGGGAGAAGAACACACCCUUCUCUGCAUGAUUUCUCCCAGGCCCUGUACAUCGUGGGCGAGAUCGGUGGAAACGACUAUGGAUUCAUGAAGAAGAGUGGCCUGGAUUACCCCCAAAUGAUGGAAUUCGUCCCGUUCGUCGUGCAGGCCAUCCGGGAUCUCAUCCAGGCAAGGAUGAACUUUCCCAAUCCUCUGCUUUUGUCAGUUUACUCUCGCGCAUUGAUGGAUCUCUCGAUCUCACACUAAAUUUCUCCACAUGGUGGGCAGAAUCUCUACAACUUGGGCGCGCGCAAGUUCCUGGUGACCAACAUCCCGCGCCAGGGAUGCAAUCCCAGCUUCCUCGUCUCGCGCCGUCCCAGCGAUCGCUUGGACGAGCUCGGCUGCAUCGCGGAUUUCAACGCGCUCAAUGCCCACCACAAUUCGCUGCUCCGAGAGGCAGUGGACGAUCUCCGCGUCAGCCUAGCCGGAGCGUCGAUCGCGCACGCGGAUUUCUACAGCGCGAUUGAACCGAUCUUGCGAAAUCCUCAAUCAUACGGUAAAUUUCCAUCUCUGUUUCUACCUUUAUCACCUGGUUAAACCGAGAGUUUACACGCAGGAUUUACCGAACCUCGUACGGUAUGCUGUGGUACGCCCUGGCUAACGCAGGUCGUUGAUUGCGUGGACGGUGGGAUGAUCAACGGCAUCCUGACGAAGGGCCAGACGUGCGCCGACCCGUCAGUUCACAUAUACUGGAAUGGAGUUCACUUCACGGAACACUUAUAUAAUAUUGUCGCAAACGCCUUUCUCACGGGACAAUAUGUUGAUUUAGUCGCAAACCCAAAGCUUGACCAGUAGAUAGAUAGAUACAAAGCCAAGAGAUUAAAGAAACUUGCGGGAUCUAUACUGCUGGGAAGUUCUUUCGAAAACCAAACACGUCAUUGGACUCACGGAAGUGAAGAUCUGGAGAAUGUAUGGCACACAGGACUAUAGGGUUUGUCUCCAUUAUGCUAAAACUCAUUUUAAAAAAUAGAAUAGUGGAAAAACAAUUUAACAAAUGAUAUUUAAUUUUAAGAACACAAUAUGGAAUCUGCUAAAAUUUCAAAGUAUAUUCAUUACUAUCAUAAAUUUGCUCCAUCUUUUAUAAAUAAUUGUCAGGAACUUUUCAUCAUUAUUAUCAAUUUCAACUAUUACAAAUUAAUCAAGAGCUUCAUACCAAUGGGAAUAUGCUAAUGAAAUUUUUUAUUAUUUUGAAUUGGAGAAUUAAAUAUACUAAUUUAAAAGGUUAAGAAGUAUUAUUAUAUACAAAUAAAUAGCUUUAAAUAGUUGAGUCUACAAGAUAGUGUAAUAUAGACAUUACAAGUAUUAAUACUAUAAUAGUGCAUUUAUUUUUAAUAAUGUUUAUAUUUUAUUGAUGUGAAAUUUCAAAAUUUUUGAGCAACAUAAUUUCUAUAAAAUUAUUUCUAUUUUUAGUAACAGAAAAAUGUGUAUAUAUUCAUAUUAAAUUAUUAGCUAUUUAGCUAUAUAUAAAUCUACUAAAGUUAAUAUUUUAACAACUAUACAUACUAAUAACAAAUAAACUAAAAAUUUUGAUUAUUGAGUAUGCAAAUAUUUAUUUACCUUUUACAUGUAUACAAUAUUAUAGUCAUUAUUUAGAGUUAAAAUAUAGUAUUCUAUUGUAAUGAUACUUCACUUAUAAAAAUAAAUUUUUUAUAAUUUAAUAUAUAUAUAUAUAUAUAUAUAUAUAUAUAUAUAUAUAUAUAUAUAUCAAUGUCUUAUAUUUUCAAAAAAAUCAAUAAUAUAGAACUCAAUAAAUUAAAAAUAUUUUUUAUUAUUUAUUUUAAAAAGUAGAUAUAAAUUUUAUUAAUUUUAUUGUAAGAAAAGCUUACAUAAUCUUGGUUAACUUUUUAGUGAUAUUUAUUUUUGUUCAAAAGAUUUAUCUUUUUUCACAAUGAAAUUUAAUAUAUUAAUCUAAAUAAUAUUAAAAAAUAUAUAUUAUUUAGUGGUUAACUUCAUUAUCAAACCUUAUUUGUGUUAUUCUUUCAUUUUUAUUUUUCUAAAUUUAAAAAAAAAUUAUAGAAAUUUUCAAUUCAAUACUUUUAGAAAAUCACACAUUUUUCAAUGGAUAAUUCAAAUGUACAAUUGUACGAUUACAUUGUUAAUUUUGUAAGAAAAUUUUCCUAUAUUAUAAGUGUUACUUUUACUGAAACAUUUGCUUAAAAAUCAAGAAUUUUUUUCCAAUAUAAAAUUUAUGUUUUUUCAAUUAAGGAUGAUUUCUCAUUAGAUAUAUACUUUUGAUUUAUAUUUAUUUUCUUUUAAAUUAUAUAGCAACUGGAUAGUUGUAUGCUAAAGUAGUAUAAAAAAGUGGUAAUAAGUGAUUAAAAUUUUAAAAUUGUAUUAAAAUCAACUAAUUUUUGGCAAAAAAUUCAAAUUCUACAACUAUUUUGUUCUGAAAAUAGAUGUGAAUAUAAUAAAUUAGUUCAUAAAGAAAUUUUUAUAAAAAGUUAUUACAUAUUUUCAUGGUAAUUUCAGCUACUUUUUUUAAUCACUUUGAUGUACUAAUAAUCCAAAAAACAAUUGAAAACGAUUCACUGCCAAAAAGAAUAUGCUAGACUAAUUAAAGCUUGGUCAGUUUUCCGUUGGCUGUUUUAACAAAGCCGCUAGUCACAGAAUAUUCAUUGCUCACAUUCUCCCUGGCUCCACAUACUUACAAGCGCCUCUAUGGCGAGACCUUCUUCCAUCAUCCCGCAGGGAGAGACAGGACGCCAUGAUCUUUUUGUCUCAUUCUUCUUUGAUUCUAGGGUCAUAGCGGAGGGCUAUGGAUUGCCGCUGCUAGAUCCAUUCUUGCUGCUGUCCAAGUCCAAGGAGCGGAAUUUCAUCCAAGCAAGGAUGACUUCGUGUCAAUUCUCGCUUUUGUUUAUUUUCGUGUGAUUGAUUGAUCGAUCUCACCCACACAUGGUGCAACUUGGGC